AACGCGAAGAACCUUACCCAGGCUCGAACGGUACGCGACGGCGGCAGAGAUGUCGUUUUCCUUCGGGACGCGUAUCGAGGUGCUGCAUGGUUGUCGUCAGCUCGUGCCGUGAGGUGUCGGCUUAAGUGCCACAACGAGCGCAACCCUUGUUGACAGUUGCCAUCGGGUAAAGCCGGGGACUCUGUCGAGACUGCCACCGUAAGGUGUGAGGAAGGGGGGGAUGACGUCAGAUCAGCACGGCCCUUAUGUCUGGGGCGACACACGUGUUACAAUGGUGAGUACAGAGGGUCGCUACCUGGCGACAGGAUGCCAAUCUCGAAAACUCAUCUCAGUUCGGAUCGGAGUCUGCAACUCGACUCCGUGAAGUUGGAUUCGCUAGUAAUCGCGCAUCAGCCAUGGCGCGGUGAAUACGUUCCCGGGUCUUGUACACACCG
rnacentral:rRNA from 1 species